rnacentral:rRNA from 1 species
UACGUAGGGUGCAAGCGUUAAUCGGAAUUACUGGGCGUAAAGCGUGCGCAGGCGGUUUGUAAGUUUGUCGUGAAAUCCCCGGGCUCAACCUGGGAAUGGCGAUGAAGACUGCAAGGCUAGAGUUUGGCAGAGGGGGGUAGAAUUCCACGUGUAGCAGUGGAAAUGCGUAGAUAUGUGGAGGAACACCGAUGGCGAAGGCAGCCCCUGGGUCAAAACUGACGCGCUCAUGACCACGGAAAGCGUGGGAGCAAACAGAUUGAGAAACCCCGGUAACGGGUC